AGCUGUUCUGAUAGGUGAGUUGUAGUAUCUAUUUGCAGUCUCCCGAAUGGCUAAUAAUGUGCACAGCUUUUCAUGUAUUUAUUCCUCAUACAUAUGUCUUCUUCAGUGAAUUGUCUUUUUUUCAACAUUUUUUUUUGGUUGUUGCAAACUUCUUUUUUUUUUUUUAAAUAAUGAUUUUUAUUUUUUCCGUUAUAGCUGGUUUACAGUGUUCUGUCAAUUUUCUACUAUACAGCAAGGUGACCCAGUUACACAAACAUGUAUAUGUUCUAUUUUCUCACAUUAUCAUUUUUUAACAUCUUUUUUUCCCAUGUUCUAAUUGGAUUGUUUGCUUUUUUCACUGUAGAUAAUUAAGGGUUCUUUAUAUAUUCCAGAUAUUAUCUUUUAGUAGAUAUGUGAUUUGUAAAUAUUUUCUCCUACAGUGUAGCUCAUCUCUUAAUCCUUUUAACAAUGUAUUCUGCAUGGAAAAAGGUUUUAAUUUUGAUGAAAUCUACUUUAUUAUUUUUUUCCCUUUUGAGCAUCCUGCUUUUGGUAUCAAGUCUAAGUAAUUCUUGCUUAGCCCUUAGAUCUCCAACUUUUUUUUUUCCUGAAAGUUUCAUUGUUUUAUAGUUUAUACUGAGGUCUGUGAUCCAAACUGAGGGAAUUCUCAUCUAAGAUGUGAGACUUAGGUUGCGUUUCACUUAUGCUCGUAGAUGUCCAAUUGUUUCAGUACCAGUUGUUGAAAAGGCUGCCUUUCCUGCAUUUCCACCUUUGUCAAAACUCAACUGGACAAAUUUGUGUGGGUAUAUUUAUUUCAAAGUUUUCUCUUUUGUUCUUUCCAUUGAUCUGUGUGUCUUUCCUUUCUCAAAAACCACACAUUCUUGAUUAUUAUAGUUAAAUAGUGAGUCUUGAAAUCAGACUGAUCCCACUCACCUUCUUCUUCCAUUCCUGCAGGUUACUUGUAUAUUUAUUAGAAUUUCCUUUUAAUUUACUUACAGUGUUUUUAAAGUAUGUUUCUCUUUCUCUCGUGUGUGUGUGUGUGUGUGUGUGUGUGUGUGUGUGUGUGUGUACAAUAUUAUAAUUUUUGCUUCAAUCAUCAAAUAUAAUUUUAAAACCUUAAGAAGGAAAGCAAAUUGAGUUUUCCCAUAUUUUUGCUUAUCAUUUUCUUCUCUCCUGAUGUAAUGUUUCCUUCUUUAAUCAUUUCCUUUCUGUUUAGAGACCUUUAGGCAUUCUUUUAGAGUAUAUCUUCUGGCAACAAAUUCUCUUAGUUUCCCUUCAUCUCAGAAUGUUUUGAUUUCACAUUUAUUGCUAAAAAUUGUUUUCCCUGGGCAUAUGAUUCUAGCUUGACAGGGUUUUUAUUAUUAUUAUUUUCAGCACUUGAAGGAAAAAAUUGCUUUGAGCUCCAGAAGUUGGAUUCCUUGUUCUUACAAGGAAGUGAGAGUAAAAGGUGCUGGAUUUAGGCAUAAUAUGGUCCUGGGUGCUGGACUUUUUACGGCCAGUACAGGACAAGAAAGAACGCUAUCGAGUUUUCUAAUCAGCCAAAAACGUGACAUAAUUCUUCCCACCUGUACUUCAGAGGAUACAUUCUGUUCAGUGGAGAAAGAUAAAGUUAUUUCUCAUUAUUUGCUAAACAAAGUGGUCAAAAUUAACAAUGGCAGUUUCUUUUUUUCUCUAUAUUUAGGGCUGCGCCUGCGGCAUAGGGAAGUUCCCAGGCUAGAAAUUGAAUUGGAGCUGCACCUGUGGGCCUACACCAUAGCCACAGCAAUACCAGAUCUGAGCCACAUCUGCAACCUACACUGCAGCUCACAGGCAAUGCUGGAUCGUCAACCCACUGAGCGAGCCAGGGAUCGAACCUGCAUCCUCAUCGACACUAUAUCAAGUUCUUAAACUGCAGAGCCACCAUGGGAACUCUGGCAGUCUCUGUCACGAAUAUUACAUUCACCAUCCACCGAGCGGAUGCAUGUGGUACCUACUAUGUGCCUGGCACAAUAGACACCAGGCAGGGGUGAUUACAUAAUUUGUGAGUGUGAGUGAAAAAUAAAAAUGUGGUGCUGCUUAUUCAAAAAGCAGGAAAAAUGUCAUUAAAAGUACCAAUAUAGGAGUUCCCAUCAUGGUGCAGCAGAAACAAAUCCAACUAGGAACCAUGAGGUUGAGGGUUUGACCCCUGGACUUGCUCAGUGGGUUAAGGAUCCCAGCAUUGCUGUGAGUUAUGGUGUAGGUCACAGAUGCAGCUCAUAUCUGGCAUUGCUGUGGCUGUGGUGUAGGCCAUCAGCUACAGCUCUGAUUAGACCCCUAGCCUGGGAACCUCCAUAUGCCAUGAGUGUGGCCCUAAAAAGCAAAAAAAAAAAAAAAAAAGUACCAAUGUAGACAGCUCUUCUCUUUUUCUUGAUUUGUCAAUCACUCCCUUUCUUCAUUUCCACUCUUUCUUGAUUUGUCCUGGUGUAUUUUAUUUGCUUUUUAAUGUUAUGCUUCCUCAGGCAAUGGGAUACUUUGCUUCUUGGGCUACUUCUCUCCCUGCCUGUGCUUGCUGCCACCACCCACAGUGGACAGGUCACUCCAAGGGAUUUUUUUUUUUUUUUACAGUUUAGUGGAGAAAGUUUAUUUAUGGAUGUGGGGAGAACAUGGUAAGGGCCCUCGGGCUGGCCAGCAAAGUGGCAAACGGAUUAAAAACAGUUUCCUCAAGUCAGUUCUGAGGGAGGGCUCAGGAACCUGCAGUGUAUGUGGGUUUGUGUGUGUGGGGGGAGAGGGUGGAUGAUGAUGACCCCAACCCAUAACAAAAGAAACCAUGGUGGUGCCUGAUUUCCAGAAUAGCUGGCUGGCCAGGAAUCCUCAAGUCAGAAGAAAGGAGGAAUCUGAAAGUAGUGUUUGACCCCAGGGAGCUCCAUUGCUCCAGUGGCAGUGGGGACUGCUCAGGCCUCACUCGUCCUCCAGCAAAUUCCAUCAGUGUUUUGGGACUGGGACCAUUUUGGCUGUUCUCAGAGGCAGCUUGCCCAGGCCCAGCAUGCUGGGCCACAAGCCCUUGACCUUGACUGCUUCUGCCCGGAGCCCAGCCAUCUCCUUUUCACGCAGCUCCCUUAGCACAGCCACCGGCUCCUUCUGCUCUCUGGGUAGAGUCUGCCAGGUCUGCAGCCAGGCUUGGCCCUGCAGCGGCUGCUCUGCCACCUGCCUGUGGUCAGCCUUCUGUUGCUGCACACAGCACUGCAGGGAGGCCCAUUUCUGCAGGAAGCAAUGGGUCAUGGUGCUUUGCAGGUCUUUCUCUAGGACCCCACUAGGGUGCCAGGCUGGCUUCUUGUGGUAUUUGCCUUCGUCCGCAAUUGUAUCCAAGGCACUCAAGACAGCCUUCAGCUUCCCCUCUGCUUCUGUACCAGGCACAUUUGGCACCUCUUCAGGUGGGCAUGGGAAGUUUGAUGGUCACCCAUGAGCGGCCAUGGUGCUCCCAUCAUCAGUCUGGGACAGCUUUCAUCAUGCCCCACCCUAAAACACAGGAGGGCAGACAUCUACCCCCAGCUCUCCCUGCACACAAGUGCCCACCAAGGGUGGACAGCAGCAAGGUUGUUGGUCAGGGGCAUCAAGAGAGAGGGGGAGUUCCCGUCAUGGCGCAGUGGUUAACGAAUCUGACUAGGAACCAUGAGGUUGCGGGUUCGGUCCCUGGCCUUGCUCAGAGGGUUAAGGAUCCGGCGUUGCUGUGAGCUGUGGUGUAGGUUGCAGACGCGGCUCGGAUCCCGCGUUGCUGUGGCUCUGGCAUAGGCUGGUGGCUACAGCUCGGGUUCGACCCCUAGCCUGGGAACCUCCAUAUGCCGCAGGAGCGGCCCAAGAAAUAGCAAAAAGACAAAAAAAAAAAAAAAAAAAAAAAAA
rnacentral:lncRNA from 1 species